rnacentral:rRNA from 1 species
GUAGGUGGCAAGCGUUGUCCGGAAUUAUUGGGCGUAAAGCGCGCGCAGGCGGUCCUUUAAGUCUGAUGUGAAAGCCCACGGCUCAACCGUGGAGGGUCAUUGGAAACUGGGGGACUUGAGUACAGAAGAGGAAAGCGGAAUUCCACGUGUAGCGGUGAAAUGCGUAGAGAUGUGGAGGAACACCAGUGGCGAAGGCGGCUUUCUGGUCUGUAACUGACGCUGAGGCGCGAAAGCGUGGGGAGCAAACAGGGAUUAGAUACCCUGGUAGUCCACGCCGUAAACGAUGAGUGCUAAGUGUUAGAGGGUUUCCGCCCUUUAGUGCUGAAGUUAACGCAUUAAGCACUCCGCCUGGGGAGUACGGUCGCAAGACUG